AAGAUCAAGCCUACAUUUGCUAAAAUCCUGAAAGAAGAAACAAGAAUAUAAUUUGUUAAGGUGACUGGAUUAUGAGCGACUUUCUCCUAUAAUACAUACUUUCUGUCAUGUUAUAUAUAACUUUGGCAAGUUUUAAAAAUUAUUCCAGGGAGGGGGUUCUUGUGGUGGCACAGCCGAAAGGAAUCCGACUAGGAACCGUGAGGUUUCAGGUUUGAUCCCUGGCCUUGAUCAGUGGGUUAAGGAUCUGGCAUUGCCGUGAGCUGUGGUGUAGGUCUCAGACGCAGCUUGGAUCUGGUGUUGCUGUGGCUGUGGCAUAGACCGGCAGCAAUAGUGCCAACUAGAUCCCUAUCCUGGGAACCUCCAUAUGCCGCGGGUACAGCCCUAAAAAAAAGACCAAAAAAAAAAAAUUUCCAAGGAGUUCCUGCUGCGGCUCAGUGGAAAUGAACCUGACUGGUAUCUGUGAAGAUGCGAAUUCGAUCCCUGACCUUGCUCAGUGGGUUAAGGAUCUGGUGUUGCCAUCAGCUGUGGUGUAGUUGUCGUCUAGCGUUCUGCCCAGUGUUUGGCAGUGACUCUAGUGCUCUGGUCACAAGUGCCUGGCUGGCUCUUAUGAACAGCAUGUGCGAAAGUCUAAGGGCGAAUUCUGCAACUUUUUUUUCUUUAUGCAAGCCAAACCUAGGGUCUAAUUGCAGCUGCAGCUGGGGCCUAUGCCACAGCUGUGGCAACACCAGAUCAGAGCUGCAUCUGUGACCUACGCCCCAGCAAAGCAGGAUCCUUAACCCACGGAGCGAGGCCAGGGAUCCUCACUAGGUCAGGUUAACCUACUGAGCCACAAUGGGAACUCCUGAGGGAGAAUUCUUGGUGUGUGGUAAUGAGGCAGCAUCAGUUCACCUCUGCCCAAGAGGAAGCCAGUGAAGGGUGCUGCCCAAAGAUGAGAAACACAACUGGACUGAACGUCCACAGAAACAGCAUUUGUAAAACCCAGGAAGGCUUAGUUGUCCUGGGAGGAGGCCUAUGUACAGGGAUGCUGAGCAGAAAGGUGGGACCUUCCUGGGAGGCCAAGGCACAGUCAUGUCACACUGUGAGCUCUUGGGCAAGGGCCAGGUUGUCUGGGGUGUUGGUCUGUUCUGGGGUGACAGGAGCUGGCUGGGGAGGGACCUUCCCGGGAGGAGAGCCAUGAAGGAUGGGGUGGCUGCGUGUGUGUGCUGAGGCCCAAUUCAGGAGGCCUCACAAGUUCAGGCUCUGCUGCUACAUGAGCAGAUCUUGGUGGGAAUCUUUUGGGUCAUCAGUGGUGCACCUUUCAAAGGAUCAUGCAGUGUCCAGGACUGAGCUUUAUGGGGACUCCAUCCACGAAGCCUAUAGAUUCUGGGAGAACUGUAGUGACCUUCUGUGGAUGGCAGCUUCACAAGCCAGAGAUGAUCCUGUUAAAACUAUAAGAUGAUUAAAGCACAAACCUGCCUAUCAGCUGGGUCUGACUCGGUGACACUGGGGAGGCCGUCCUGCUGGGAGCAGAAUUUGGGGCAUGGUGUAAGGACGGAGUGACUCCACUGGCAGUACUGAAUAUGGAGGACAUAAGCUCUGUGCCAGCAUCCACACCGGGUGGAACACUGGCAGAAGCCCUUCCCACGGGGCCUGCUGGCAUCUGGUAUGCUUCUGCCCUAUUGAGUCCCACCACAUCUCCUCAAACAAAGUUAAGUCCCAGGGGUCUACCAGCAGCCCUGUUACCAGGCUGUACAUUGUUAAGUAAGAGUAGCAGCCAGGCAAGGAGAACAUAAGCACCCGGCCAGUGUGCGAGGGCCUCCCUCCGGGCGUGUGGUUGGGACACUGACCAAAGGUGGAACGCUGUUGCUCUGGGACCAAGGUCUCCUAUCUCUUCGUCAGGCGGGGGCACAGGGGUUGGCCUGGGGCUGCAGACAGAGGGCGCUAGAUUUUGGGGUUUCCGUUCGAGGUUCAUUUCCUAGUGUGACUGGCAUCCCCUGGGUGGAGGGCCUUUUCUCCUCUCUCUAAGCAGUUCCGCCAUUUGUCCUGGAGCUGUAUCAAUCUCCGUGAGAGUUUGUGAUAAAUUUGGUUUAGUGAACCAGCCUUGGUAAUCCGAAUAGAGAGGCAAAGUCGGUGGUCUUGGUUUAGUUGUGGCUGGUGCUGGGCCAAACUAUGACCUCACGAAAUCUGUCCAAUCGUGACCUCUGGAGUUCCCGUUGCGGCUUAGCGGUAAGAAACCCAACUAGUAUCCAUGCGGACGUGGCUUAGACCCCUGGCCUCGCUCACUGGGUCAAGGAUCCAGCGUUGCCAUAAACUGUAGGUCUGAUCCUGAGGGGGUUAGUCUUUGCAGGAGACUGGUCAUUGGGGUGGGGGUUUGAGUCCUGAGGGCCAGGAAUCGAGCAGUAUUAGAGACUGGGUGGAAAAUUUGUGCCCAUUUAGGGGAACAGCUAUUGUUUGAAAGUGUGAGGAUGGAGCCUGUCUUUGAGUAGGAUACUGUACCUCUUGUACUUUCAGCUGCUUGGGGCUGGUCAGCCAGGUGGAAAUUCGACAAGAUUGCACUUUCUAGAGCCUAUGACUGAACAACUUGGUGAAAUGGGUACACUGAUCCGAAUCUAUGAUAUCUGGAGGGUCAAAGGGGAUGAGCACAUACCUGGUUAAGUAGGCGAUGAUGUCGUGGGAAGCAGUUUCUGGAGGACGUGGCCAGCAGUGUCCCGGGUCGGUGCAGUGAUGGUGGUGGGUGCACACCCGCUAGUUCCAGCAGAGGGCAGCAGCAGCCCAACAAAUUCAGUUUGCCAUGGGGAUUCAACGUGUCACCCAGGAAACAUGUCCCUGGGAGCCUUCCAGAGUUUUGCUUGGGGAUGGGGACUUGUGCGUGAAGCCCGGUUGGCUGCCGAAAUUUGUCAUGGAAGUGGCGGUAGUGGGCUGCUGUCUGGGGCAGGCGUUUGGGCCAGAACCCCCCACACAACCAGGUAGAGCUGCGCUUAGUUCAUUGACUCCAAGAGGUGUAGUCACCAGUGAGUCAGAUCCAAAGUCUGAGCUCCGAGGGACCAAGGUCAGGGCCUGCUGUGUGCCUGACUGCCCCAUCGUAAGGCAGUCUGUUGAUUUUUCCCCAGUGGAAAGAAACUGAUUUUCCUGAAAUGGCACAACUAGCCUAAGUAGAAUGGUUCAGUGUGGUCUGUGUCUGAAAUGUACAGUGUCUGUCCUAAUGUGGUGGCGAUGGUGAGGAGCUGGCGUUUUUCAGGGAGAAGAAUUUCAUGGCCUGAAGCUGCCCACUCUGUGCCCAGAAGCUUGACAAAGUUGUGGUCUUUGGAUCCUAUGGGGGCAAUGGUCUACCUUUUCUGCUGUAAGUGUAAUUAGGUACAAGCACUCCCAGAUGGCGAGUCCUAACAGGGCCUUGUAGUAGAAUGUCGUCUGUAUAAUGCCAAAGGCGGCAGUGGGUUGGUUGGGGUGAAUUCAGGUCUGUUGGGCAGGGGUGUUGAGAUAACCUCUGGGCAACGGAGGAAAGGUGACCUCAAAAAUGGAAGCAGGAGUUCCCAUUGUGGUGCAGCAGAAACGAAUCCAACUAGAAACCGUGAGGUUGCAGGUUUGAUCCCUGGCCUUGCUCAGUGGGUUAAGGAUUCGGCAUUGCCAUGGGCUGUGGUGUAGGUCACAGAUGCGGCUCAGAUCUGGCGUUGCUGUGGCUGUGGUGUGGGCCAGCAGCUGUAGCUCUGAUUCAACUCCUAGCCUGGGAACCUCCAUAUGCCUCAGGUGCAGCCCUAAAAAAAAAAAAAAAAAGGGAAGCAAAUCGAGGCUGUGAGUCUCCUGCUUUCAGGACCGAGUAGACUGUGUUGGCUAUAGAUCUAGUCCAGCAAAGUCAGGGUCCUGAGGCUUCUGGCAGACUUCUACUGUCUAUACGACACUGGGUAUGGAACAUUAAUGGCAGGAACUCGUACAGUUGUUAAUCUCUUUCACUCAUGGUUUAACUCUGGCCAGAUAGGCUAUUCCAGGGUGAGAUGGUGGCCUAAUGACCCAGUGUCAAACAUAUCUCUAAUGACCAGUCAAGGAUCCUCUGCACCAACUCUCUUUUUCUUUCUUUCUUUUUUUUUUUUUUUUAGGGCCCUACCUGCGGUAUAUGGAAGUUCACAGGCCACGGGUCAAAUCAGAGCUGCAGCUGCCAGCCUACACCACAGCCACAGCAAUGCCAGAUUGGAGCUGUGUCUGCAACCUACACAACAGCUCAUAUAAACACCGGAUGCUUAACUCUCUGAGUGAGGCCAGCGACUGAACCCGCGCCUCCAUGAAUAAUAGUUGGGUUAAUUACCACUGAGCCACAAUGGGAACUCCCCUCUUCACUAGCUUAUUUUAGCCUGUUGUGGUGUGUUUCCUGUCUACACCGCGGGAGGCAGGCGGAUAUGCUCCCAUUGGCAGCCCAUAAGGAAGCCCAGGAAUUUAGAUUUGUUCCAUCAUGUGUCUCCAUACUGUCAACAAGAAGAGAGAGCCAGAGAGGGCUGCCACCACUGGCAACUGUUCCAGAAAGAUAUACGGUGUCAAUAGACACAUCCAGCUUAACUGGCACUCCUUUUACAGUUUUACCUGCUCUGCCUUCUGUGCUGUUUGAGUUCCCUUGGGGUGGGUCCACACAGAGGGCUGGGCAGAGUGCAGUCAGAGAGGUAUGCUUUGUGGUUUCCAGGCUAAGACUGGAUUGGUUAGUCCAAACCAGAGCAGGGUUUUGCUAACCUUCUGAUGGGUUUUAUCUAGAGGGCCCACAGGAGAGUACAAGAGCAGUUGGGCGAGUCCUAUGGGAAACUUAUUUUACCUGUGACUGUGUGCUGCUGUCUAGAGUGACUGCUUGUGUGAGGAGCUAAGCCAGUUUAAGGCCCUGUGGGGUGCUUGCUCAAACAAAGUGGAUGCUGAGGAAGCAACACUGUGUUGAGGCUUAGCUAAACCCUUUACAAGAUCUGAACAGGAAUGGCUCAACAGCAAAAGUUGUUUUCUAGACCGAAGACAUGGAGAACAGCCAAGGGGAAGGGAGGAGGGAGUGGGAUGGACUGGUGGGGUUAGUAGAUGCAAACUUGGAGUUCCCGUCGUGGCGCAGUGGUUAACGAAUCAGAAUAGGAACCACGAAGUUGCGGGUUCGAUCCCUGGCCUUUCUCGGUGGGUUAAGGAUCCACAUUGCUGUGAGCUGUGGUGUAGGUUGCAGAUGCGGCUUGGAUCCUGUGUUGCUAUGGCUCUGACCUAGGCUGGUGGCUACAGCUCUGAUUAGACCCCUAGCUUGGGAACCUCUAUAUGCCAUGGGAGGGGCCCUAGAAAUGGCAAAAAACGAAAAAAAAAAAAAAGUAAAUGCAAAUGAUUACAAACUAUUACAUUUAGAAUGGAUAAGCAAUGAGGUCCUACUGUACAGCACAGGGAGCUAUGUCUACUCUCUUGUGAUAGAACUUGGAAGAUAAAUAAGAAAAAAAUGUAUAGUAUAUACAUCCAUGUACAUAUGACUGGGUCGCACUGCUAUACAGCAGAAAUUGGUGCAACAUUGUAAAUCAACUAUACUUAAGUUGAUUUCUUGUUCAUGUGGCUCUCAUGGGCUACAGAGUAGAACUCUAGCCUGGUUCUUUUCCAUGUGGUCAUUUGGGGCUGUAGCUGAGAAGGGUUAUGCCAUUUGAACGUGUGGCUUCUGCCAGGAGGAGCAUGGAGGUUUUGAGGAUGGCCAGGGCUCAGGCACAGACGUGGAGGCUGAGUGCCAGCCUGGUUGUGUGCUGAAGACGCUAAGGGGUGAAUAGGGAUGACCAGCUAGCCACUGUCUGCCACAGUUACCAAGGAUGCUUUAGAGAUGCAGAAACUAUGAGCAAGAAUUGGCGUGAUGGAGUUCCCGUUGUGGCUCAGUGGUUAACGAAUCUGACUAGGAACCAUGAGGUUGCGGGUUCAACCCCUGGCCUUGCUCAGUGGAUUAAGGAUCUGGCGUUGUGGUGAGCUGUGGUGUAGGUCGAAGACGUGGCUCGGAUCUGGCAUUGCUGUGGCUCUGGUGUAGGCCGGCGGCUACAGCUCUGAUUAGACCCCUAGCCUGGAAACCUCCAUAUGCCGCAGGUGUGGCCCUAGAA
rnacentral:lncRNA from 1 species